CCUACGGGAGGCAGCAGUGAGGAAUAUUGGUCAAUGGCCGUAAGGCUGAACCAGCCAAGUAGCGUGAGGGAAGACUGCCCUAUGGGUUGUAAACCUCUUUUAUGCGGGGAUAAAGGUGUCCACGUGUGGAUGUUUGCAUGUACCGCAUGAAUAAGGACCGGCUAAUUCCGUGCCAGCAGCCGCGGUAAUACGGAAGGUCCGGGCGUUAUCCGGAUUUAUUGGGUUUAAAGGGUGCGUAGGCGGAAUAUCAAGUCAGCGGUAAAAAUUCGGGGCUCAACCCCGUCGUGCCGUUGAAACUGAUGGUCUUGAGUGGGCGAGAAGUAGGCGGAAUGCGUGGUGUAGCGGUGAAAUGCUUAGAUAUCACGAAGAACUCCGAUUGCGAAGGCAGCUUACUAAACUGCCACUGACAUUGAUGCUCGAAAGUGUGGGUAUCAAACAGGAUUAGAUACCCGAGUAGUC
rnacentral:rRNA from 1 species